rnacentral:rRNA from 1 species
UACGUAGGGACCAAGCGUUGUUCGGAUUUACUGGGCGUAAAGGGCGCGUAGGCGGCGUGACAAGUCACUUGUGAAAUCUCUGAGCUUAACUCAGAACGGCCAAGUGAAACUGUUGUGCUAGAGUGCAGAAGGGGCAAUCGGAAUUCUUGGUGUAGCGGUGAAAUGCGUAGAUAUCAAGAGGAACACCUGGAGGUGAAGACGGGUUGCUGGGCUGACACUGACGGCUGAGGCGCGAAAGCCAGGGGAGCAAACGGG